rnacentral:rRNA from 1 species
AGAUUGAACGCUAGCGGGAUGCUUUACACAUGCAAGUCGAACGGCAGCGCGGACUUCGGUCUGGCGGCGAGUGGCGAACGGGUGAGUAAUAUAUCGGAACGUGCCCAGUAGCGGGGGAUAACUACGCGAAAGCGUGGCUAAUACCGCAUACGCCCGUACGGGGGAAAGGGGGGGAUUCGUUCGGAACCUCUCACUAUUGGGAGCGGCCGAUAUCAGAUUAGCUAGUUGGUGAGGUAAAGGCUCACCAAGGCGACGAUCUGUAGCUGGUUUGAGGGGACGACCAGCCACACUGGGACUGAGACACGGACCCAGACCUCCGUACGGGAGGCAGCAGGUGGGGUAAUUUAGGACGAAGUACGGGGGAAACCCUGA